GUGGUUUUGGUCAGGAUGUGAGAACAAGGGGACGAGUACGAGACGUCAAAAGAGCAGGAGAGUAGUGGUGGCAUUGUCAGUGAUGAAGACCUGCAUAAAAGUAUAUCUACAAUGUCACAGACAUAAACCUACUGAUAUGCGCCAGAGCCAGUAGGAUCGCGGACCUCGGGAACAGGUAA